AUUGAACGCUGGCGGCAGGCCUAACACAUGCAAGUCGAGCGGAGCGGCGGACGGGGGAGUAAUGCCUAGGAAUCUGCCAGGUAGUCGGGGAUAACGUCCGGCAACGGGCGCUAAUACCGAAUACUAUCACAUGAGCCUAGGUCGGAUUAGCUAGUGGGUGGGUGAAAGGCCUACAAAGGCGACGAUCGGUAACUGGUAUGAGAGGAUGAUCAGUCACACGGGAACUGAGACACGGUCCAGACUCCUACGGGAGGCAGCAGUGGGGAAUAUUGGAAAAUGGGCGAAAGCCUGAGCCAGCCAUGCCGCGUGUGUGAAGAAGGUCUUCGGAUGGUAAAGCACUUUAAGUUGGGAGGCGUUACCAACAGAAUAAGCACCGGCUAACUUCGUGCCAGCAGCCGCGGUAAUAC
rnacentral:rRNA from 1 species